CUUCAUUUUUCUUUGAAAAGCCUGAGGUGAGGGUCGCAGAGGUGAAUCUUGAUGCAGAAUUUUCAGCAAAUAUUGAAGGAAUUGAUUAAAAUAAUAAGACACAGUUGGACUAACUCUGAAGUCAGCUGAAGCCUCAGUAUGAUGAGCCGUCCACAGAAAUACAUAGAAGGUGAAGCUCUUCACUCUCAACAUGCAAAAUCAAACAAUGCAUUAAAGCUCAGAGUGGCCGUGCUGGUUGUCUGUGUUCUCCUGGUAUCGGCUCUCGUGGUAACUUAUCUCUAUUUGCUGCUGUGCCUGGGAUCAUUGUUCUCUCUGCGUUACAUUUGACUCUUGAAUACUUUAGUAUACAGAGAAGUUCAUGGUUUAAGGUGCCCAGGUCUUAUGGCUGGAAAACAACUUCAAAUCACUAACCAUCCAC